GUGGGGAAUUUUGGACAAUGGGCGCAAGCCUGAUCCAGCAAUGCCGCGUGCAGGAAGAAGGCCUUCGGGUUGUAAACUGCUUUUGUACGGAACGAAAAGGCUCUGGUUAAUACCUGGGGCUCAUGACGGUACCGUAAGAAUAAGCACCGGCUAACUACGUGCCAGCAGCCGCGGUAAUACGUAGGGUGCAAGCGUUAAUCGGAAUUACUGGGCGUAAAGCGUGCGCAGGCGGUUUUGUAAGACAGACGUGAAAUCCCCGGGCUCAACCUGGGAAUGGCGUUUGUGAGUGGAAAGCUGGAGUGCGGCAGAGGGGGAUGGAAUUCCGCGUGUAGCAGUGAAAUGCGUAGAUAUGCGGAGGAACACCGAUGGCGAAGGCAAUCCCCUGGGCCUGCACUGACGCUCAUGCACGAAAGCGUGGGGAGCAAACAGGAUUAGAUACCCCAGUAGUCC
rnacentral:rRNA from 1 species